UGGGGAAUAUUGCACAAUGGGCGCAAGCCUGAUGCAGCCAUGCCGCGUGUAUGAAGAAGGCCUUCGGGUUGUAAAGUACUUUCAGUCGGGAGGAAGGUGGUAAGGUUAAUAACCUUAUCAAUUGACGUUACCGACAGAAGAAGCACCGGCUAACUCCGUGCCAGCAGCCGCGGUAAUACGGAGGGUGCAAGCGUUAAUCGGAAUUACUGGGCGUAAAGCGCACGCAGGCGGUUGAUUGAGUCAGAUGUGAAAUCCCCGGGCUUAACCCGGGAAUUGCAUCUGAUACUGGUCAGCUAGAGUCUUGUAGAGGGGGGUAGGAUUCCAUGUGUAGCGGUGAAAUGCGUAGAGAUGUGGAGGAAUACCGGUGGCGAAGGCGGCCCCCUGGACAAAGACUGACGCUCAGGUGCGAAAGCGUGGGGAGCAAACAGG
rnacentral:rRNA from 1 species